UACGUAUGGGGCAAGCGUUAUCCGGAUUUACUGGGUGUAAAGGGAGCGCAGGCGGCCUGGCAAGCCUGAUGUGAAAUCCCGGGGCCCAACCCCGGGGCUGCAUUGGGAACUGCCAGGCUGGAGUGCCGGAGAGGCAGGCGGAAUUCCUAGUGUAGCGGUGAAAUGCGUAGAUAUUAGGAGGAACACCAGUGGCGAAGGCGGCCUGCUGGACGGUGACUGACGCUGAGGCUCGAAAGCGUGGGGAGCAAACAGG
rnacentral:rRNA from 1 species